UUCUAUUUGACCCUGGUAGAUAAUAGAAACGUGGUUAGUAGAGCUACAUACAAUAAUUAUAUGUUAAUUAAGUGUUAAAUUAGAAAGUUUUAUUUGGUAGUAGUUAGGACUGUUAGUAUAAAGAGAUUUAAUAA
rnacentral:rRNA from 1 species